UGCAUACUACAAAAAUGCAUA
rnacentral:piRNA from 1 species